rnacentral:rRNA from 1 species
AUACGUAGGGGGCGAGCGUUGUCCGGAAUGAUUGGGCGUAAAGGGCGCGUAGGCGGCCCGGUAAGUCUGGAGUGAAAGUCCUGUUUUUAAGAUGGGACUUGCUUUGGAUACUGUCGGGCUUGAGUGCAGGAGCGGUAAGUGGAAUUCCCAGUGUAGCGGUGAAAUGCGUAGAGAUUGGGAGGAACACCAGUGGCGAAGGCGACUUACUGGACUGUAACUGACGCUGAGGCGCGAAAGUGUGGGGAGCAAACAGGAUUAGAUACCCUGGUAGUCCACACUGUAAACGAGGAAUGCUAGGUGUAGGGGGUAUCGACCCCUUCUGUGCCGCAGUCAACACAAUAAGUAUUCCGCCUGGGGAGUACGGCCGCAAGGUUGAAACUCAAAUGAAUUGACGGG